AACAAUCUAGGUUAAGUUAAGACUAUCUGUCUUCAAAACAGGGGGUGAUGAUGAUUUGUCGUUUGUUG
rnacentral:tRNA from 1 species